UACGAGGGGCUGCAGCGUUGUCCGGAAUUAUUGGGCGUAAAGAGCUCGUAGGCGGUCUGUCGCGUCAGCUGUGAAAAACCCGCAGCUCAACUGUGGGCUUGCAGCUGAUACGGGCAGGCUUGAGUUCGGUAGGGGAGACUGGAAUUCCUGGUGUAGCGGUGAAAUGCGCAGAUAUCAGGAGGAACACCGGUGGCGAAGGCGGGUCUCUGGGCCGAUACUGACGCUGAGGAGCGAAAGCGUGGGGAGCGAACAGG
rnacentral:rRNA from 1 species